rnacentral:rRNA from 1 species
UACGUAGGGCGCAAGCGUUGUCCGGAAUUAUUGGGCGUAAAGAGCUCGUAGGCGGCCUGUCACGUCCGCUGUGAAAUCCCGGGGCUCAACCCCGGGCCUGCAGUGGGUACGGGCUGACUAGAGUGCGGUAGGGGAGACUGGAAUUCCUGGUGUAGCGGUGAAAUGCGCAGAUAUCAGGAGGAACACCGGUGGCGAAGGCGGGUCUCUGGGCCGUAACUGACGCUGAGGAGCGAAAGCGUGGGGAGCGAACAGG